rnacentral:rRNA from 1 species
GAUGAACGCUGGCGGCGUGCCUAAUACAUGCAAGUCGAGCGAACAGACGAGGAGCUUGCUCCUCUGAUGUUAGCGGCGGACGGGUGAGUAACACGUGGAUAACCUACCUAUAAGACUGGGAUAACUUCGGGAAACCGGAGCUAAUACCGGAUAACAUGUUGAACCGCAUGGUUCAACAGUGAAAGACGGUCUUGCUGUCACUUAUAGAUGGAUCCGCGCCGCAUUAGCUAGUUGGUAAGGUAACGGCUUACCAAGGCAACGAUGCGUAGCCGACCUGAGAGGGUGAUCGGCCACACUGGAACUGAGACACGGUCCAGACUCCUACGGGAGGCAGCAGUAGGGAAUCUUCCGCAAUGGGCGAAAGCCUGACGGAGCAACGCCGUGUGAGUGAAGAAGGUCUUCGGAUCGUAAAACUCUGUUAUUAGGGAAGAACAAAUGUGUAAGUAACUAUGCACGUCUUGACGGUACCUAAUCAGAAAGCCACGGCUAACUACGUG